UACGUAGGGUGCAAGCGUUGUCCGGAAUUAUUGGGCGUAAAGAGCUCGUAGGCGGUCUGUCGCGUCUGCUGUGAAAACUCAGGGCUUAACCCUGAGCUUGCAGUGGGUACGGGCAGACUAGAGUGCGGUAGGGGAGACUGGAAUUCCUGGUGUAGCGGUGAAAUGCGCAGAUAUCAGGAGGAACACCGGUGGCGAAGGCGGAUCUCUGGGCCAUUACUGACGCUGGAGGAGCGAAAGCCGUGGGGAGCG
rnacentral:rRNA from 1 species